rnacentral:lncRNA from 1 species
AUGGGAGCCUGCCAGUGUUUUAUUGCUCAGAUAAGGGAUUUUCAUAUCAGUCUUGAUGAGAAACAGUUGAGGACUAGUCUUGCCACCUCCUGCAAAAGCCCUUGUUUUAGGACCUGACUCCUCACUCUACCCACAGCCAGGACCCUUAUACUGUAGAGGACAGGGUGGACAACACUCAAGCUUCUAAAAGGAAAUAACAGGUUGGGGACAGUGGCUCACACCUGUAAUCCCAGCACUUGUGGGGGCUGAGGUGGGAGGAUCACUCGAGCCAAGAACUUCAAGACCAGACUGGGAAAUAUAGCAAGACUCCAUCUCUACUAAAAUUUUAAAUUAAAAAAAAAUUUUAAGGAAAUAACAGGGUGACCCAUUAAUGAGAAAAAUUGAGAAAACUGCAUUUACACAGUAUCCCACCUCUCCACUCAAAGCCGGUAACCUGGAAACAUUCUGCAGUCAACAUGGCCCAGGAAAUCCCCUCUUAUGAAGUGUGAGGGGUUUCUGAGGGAGAGGAGCGAAGGGUAAAAUCCAGGGGUCUUCAUUAUUCCUGUCUCCAGGAAAAUUUGUUAAUUCUUGCGUCGCCCCUGGAGCCGUCCAUAGCAACCCAAACAUUUCCAAUGUGUGAUGGAACAAUGGCUUCCAAGGGGCUCCAGAAGUCAGAAAAAACCUUUAAGAUUGUUUUGUCCAGUGGUUAGCACACUCUUUAGCCUUUUGUCUAACAGACUUGUUUCCAGAAAGCUCAAUGUUCAGGAUAGACACCGGCGAGCAGCUCUGAUGGAAACAGGAGGACAGCCCUGUGGAGCCAUCACUUUCCUUCCUCCCAGCUCAAGGGUUUGGGGAGAGUGUCCAGGGAGGAGCAGGCUGGAGUGCCAGUGGAGGCAGGUCUGCCUGUCAUUCACCCUCUUCCCCACGCGUGGACGAUCCCUCCAAGAACCUGCUUUCCAGGUCAGGUAUAACCAAGCAGCAGUAGCUAGAAGCCAGAACAAACCCAUCCUGCAGCCCAGGGCUUGCCCCCAUCAGACCCCAUGGCUGGAAAUGGACAAAGGAUUGGACUCUGAGCCCAGCUCUACCUCAGACUUGCUGCUCAUGCAGCAGUGUAGAUUCCGGGGGUUGGUGAGUUACCUGAUUCACCAGCCUACCCUUAGUUCAGUCUGCUCAGCAAUCAUCUCAGAUGUGCAAAAACCUAGCCUACUUUUUAAAGUAGGCUGAUCAGAUUGCACGUUGCUCUAGCUAAUUCCCGGCAUUUAAUGUUCUUCCCUAACCUGGAUCUGUCAUUUCUGUCAUGACUAAAACUUAACCUUUUUCUAUUUGGUCUUUAGAGGAGACAGGGCAGUCGGUCAUAUUUCUCAAGGCAAAGGGCCUCCUUAGGCUUGAAAGCCAUAAUCAAAUCGCCCCUUAGGCUUCUCCAUCUGAGGUUGAUGGAUCUCAGUUGCUUUCCUGGUUAAUUACAGCUGUAUCCUUUCUUCCUCUUAAGGCCUCUGCCCUUAUCCUUUAGCUGAGGAAUCCAAGAC